rnacentral:rRNA from 1 species
GCAACUCGACUACAUGAAGCUGGAAUCGCUAGUAAUCGCGGAUCAGAAUGCCGCGGUGAAUACGUUCCCGGGUCUUGUACACACCGCCCGUCACACCAUGGGAGUCAGCAACGCCCGAAGCCGGUGACCCAACCUUUCUAGGGAGGGAGCCGUCGAAGGCGGGGCCGAUGACUGGGGUGAAGUCGUAACAAGGUACC